GCCCUUCUAAUAGGCUGGUCCACAGAAUCUGCCCACUGCAGCAAGCUAAACCCACCAUGCAAUAAAAUUUACAAUAGCAUGACAUGGCAAUUAUUUCACAAUCCAGCCUCUUAAGGCUAAAUACACAGUUCAUAUAUUUCAACACAAAUACCAAUUCAACCAUUCAUGCAAAUAUUGUCACAAGCCAUUCGAUUCAAAAUACAAUUUAUAACACAACAAGUAGCAAUCUCCAAUUACUCUUGAAUUUCUUAGUUAAAAUGAAAUCACCUUUUAAAAGAAUUCAAAUUUGAUCUUCAAGGGGAUAUUUUAAAUCUUUCUCAAAAUAUCGGUCCCCACAUCACGUUAAAACUCUCUUUUCGUAAAAUGUUCAUUGUAAAUAUUUG
rnacentral:lncRNA from 1 species